rnacentral:lncRNA from 1 species
CCGAGCUCUUGGCCUCUUGUCUUUGACACUUUACUUUUCUUUAUGGUCGCUCAGCAAGUCAAUCCCCCAGGGUCUCUUUCCUAAUAACAUCUCACGUGUUUGUCUAUAGUGCUUUAAGUAUUACAAGGCAUUUCGUCAGGAGAACCCAUCUAAGAAUGUAAGCUUUCUUCUUUUCCGGCAAGUGCUGCAAAUUGAGCCAAACUACAGAGAAACUUAAAAGAGCAGAUGGCAAGAAUCAGGGCAGAAGAAGGACUCCUGAAGCCACUGAAGGAAGGAAAUCAUUACAGGGUUCUACAGAAGUAGGUCAUGUGCUACAGCUGCUC